AACGAACGCUGGCGGCAGGCUUAACACAUGCAAGUCGAACGCCCCGCAAGGGGAGUGGCGCACGGGUGAGUAACGCGUGGGAAUAUGCCCUUCGGUUCGGAAUAACACAGGGAAACUUGUGCUAAUACCGGAUACGAUCUACGGAUGAAAGAUUUAUCGCCGAGGGAGUAGCCCGCGUAGGAUUAGCUAGUUGGUGAGGUGAUGGCUCACCAAGGCGACGAUCCUUAGCUGGUCUGAGAGGAUGAUCAGCCACACUGGGACUGAGACACGGCCCAGACUCCUACGGGAGGCAGCAGUGGGGAAUAUUGGACAAUGGGCGAAAGCCUGAUCCAGCCAUGCCGCGUGAGUGAUGAAGGCCUUAGGGUUGUAAAGCUCUUUCGCCAGGGAAGAUAAUGACGGUACCUGGAAAAGAAGCCUCGGCUAACUCCGUGCCAGCCGCCGCUGUAAUAC
rnacentral:rRNA from 1 species